GAUGAACGCUGGCGGCGUGCCUAAUACAUGCAAGUCGAGCGAACAAAGGAGGAGUUUGCUCCUCUGACGUUAGGGGCGGACGGGUGAGUCACACGUGUAUACCCUACCUUUGAGGCUGGCAUCACUUCGGGAAACCGGAUAUAACACCGGAUAAUAUGUUGAACCGCAUGGUUCAAUAGUGAAAGACGGUUUUGCUGUCACUAAUUGAUGGUUCCGCGCCGCAUUAGCUAGUUGGUAAGGUAACGGCUUACCAAGGCAACGAUGCGUAGCCGACCUGAGAGGGUGAUCGGCCACACUGGAACUGAGACACGGUCCAGACUCCUACGGGAGGCAGCAGUGGGGAAUAUUCCGCAAUGGGCGAAAGCCUGACGGAGCAACGCCGCGUGAGUGAUGAAGGUCUUCGGAUUGUAAAACUCUUUUAGUAGGGAGGAAGAGAAGUGAAAUUAACUAUGCACGUUUUGACGGUACCUAAUCAGAAAGCCACGGCUAACUACGUG
rnacentral:rRNA from 1 species